AUGAAAGAAACCAGAUCGCUGUUGUGUCUAAAAGCAUUCAUAAAAAUCCAGGUUUCAGAGUUUGCCAGAAAGCGGCCCGGGGUCAGAAAUGAGUAAUUUGACCAAAGUUUGAAGACAUACUGCGUGACACACAAUCAUUUGCCCAAAGAUUUCUUUACAUCACUAGAAAGACCAACAUCUGACUAAUCAACCAGCGAAGUUUCAAGCGACUGAGAGGUUAAGCACAUUCAGAAUGAAUAUUUUUGUAAGACCUACUUUUUGAUACUCUAAACACACGUCUAGCGAAUAAAAUUAUUUUGUUAUCUUAA